rnacentral:rRNA from 1 species
CUCCUAGGGGAGGAGCAGUGAGGAAUAUUGGUCAAUGGGACGGAAGCUGUAACCAGCCAAGUCGCGUGAGGGAAGACGGCCCUAAGGGUUGUAAACCUCUUUUGCGGGGGAGCAAAAGCGCCGUGCGCGGAUGCUAUGAGAGUACCCGGAGAAAAAGCAUCGGCUAACUCCGUGCCAGCAGCCGCGGUAAUACGGAGGAUGCGAGCGUUAUCCGGAUUUAUUGGGUUUAAAGGGUGCGUAGGCGGACAGUUAAGUCAGCGGUCAAAACGGGCGGCUCAACCGCCUGCCGCCGUUGAAACUGGCAGUCUAGAGUGGGCGAGAAGUACGCGGAAUGCGCGGUGUAGCGGUGAAAUGCAUAGAUAUUGCGCAGAACUCCGAUUGCGAAGGCAGCGUACCGGCGCCCGACUGACGCUGAGGCACGAAAGCGUGGGGAUCGAACAGGAUUAGAUACCCUGGUAGUCCACGCAGUAAACGAUGGACACUAUCUGUUCGGGUCGAGAGAGAUCUGAGUGGCACAGCGAAAGCGUUAAGUGUCCCACCUGGGGAGUACGCCGGCAACGGUGAAACUCAAAGGAAUUGACGGGGGCCCGCACAAGCGGAGGAACAUGUGGUUUAAUUCGAUGAUACGCGAGGAACCUUACCCGGGCUCAAACGCACGACGGCGGCACGUGAAAGCGUGCUUACUACGGGACGUUGUGCGAGGUGCUGCAUGGUUGUCGUCAGCUCGUGCCGUGAGGUGUCGGCUUAAGUGCCAUAACGAGCGCAACCCCCAUCCGCAGUUGCCAGCAGGUCAAGCUGGGGACUCUGCGGAGACUGCCGGCGCAAGCUGAGAGGAAGGCGGGGAUGACGUCAAAUCAGCACGGCCCUUACGUCCGGGGCGACACACGUGUUACAAUGGCAGGGACAGAGGGAAGCCACCGGGCGACCGGGCGCGGACCCCGAAACCCUGUCUCAGUUCGGAUCGGAGUCUGCAACUCGACUCCGUGAAGCUGGAUUCGCUAGUAAUCGCGCAUCAGCCAUGGCGCGGUGAAUACGUUCCCGGGCCUUGUACACACCGC